CUGCCCUAACACAAGAGAAUCAACUGCCCUAACACAUGAACCACAAAAGAAUCAACCCAGAAGCAAACCUUUAUCACUAAUAAACUGCCCUAAAUAAAGAAAGAUGAAACGAACAGAAAAUGCACUUACAAAAAUGUAAACGGUGAUGAACGAAGUGAGUGAUGAACGCAGGAAUCAAGAAUGGAGGUUUUGGGAGAAGCAGUGAUGAUGAACGCAACGAGUAUGAACGCAGUGAGAAGAAGGUUG
rnacentral:lncRNA from 1 species